GGACAUCAAGGGGAUUUGGCUGUGGCUUUUGUCACUCAGUUGAUCACUGAACCUGAUUUGGCUGGCUAAGCUGGUGCCCCCUUCCUCUUUCACUUCUUCAUGGGUGUCCUUCCAGAAGCUGCAGCCUCCAUUGAAAAUGGCAUCUUUCCGUAAUGGAGAACUAUUCUUCCAUCGAGAGCAUAGGAGAAGUUGGACUCCCCUGCUAGAAGUACAAGCAAGUUCUCAUAGGCCACCAUCUCCUAAUAGCAUCACAGGUUUGUGACUAAACUUUGAUAUGUGGAACUUUGGAUACAAACUGUAGUGUUGC
rnacentral:snRNA from 1 species